GACGAACCGUGCGAACGUUGUUCGGAUUCACUGGGCUUAAAGGGCGCGUAGGCGGGCGACCAAGUCAGGGGUGAAAUCUUUCGGCCCAACCGGAAAAGUGCCCCUGAUACUGGCCGUCUCGAGGGGGGUAGGGGCAUGCGGAACUUCCGGUGGAGCGGUGAAAUGCGUAGAUAUCGGAAGGAACGCCGGUGGCGAAAGCGGCGUGCUGGACCCCUUCUGACGCUGAGGCGCGAAAGCCAGGGGAGCAAACGGG
rnacentral:rRNA from 2 species